rnacentral:rRNA from 1 species
GACGAACGCUGGCGGCGUGCUUAACACAUGCAAGUCGAACGGAAAGGCCCUGCUUUUGUGGGGUGCUCGAGUGGCGAACGGGUGAGUAACACGUGAGUAACCUGCCCUUGACUUUGGGAUAACUUCAGGAAACUGGGGAUAAUACCGGAUAGGAGCUCCUGCUGCAUGGUGGGGGUUGGAAAGUGUCGGCGGUUGGGGAUGGACUCGCGGCUUAUCAGCUUGUUGGUGGGGUAGUGGCGUACCAAGGCUUUGACGGGUAGCCGGCCUGAGAGGGUGACCGGCCACAUUGGGACUGAGAUACGCCCCAGACUCCUACGGUAGGCAGCAGUGGGGAAUAUUGCACAAUGGGCGCAAGCCUGAUGCAGCAACGCCGCGUGCGGGAUGACGGCCUUCUGGUUGUAAACCGCUUUCUCCUGUGACGAAGCGUGAGUGACGGUAAUGGGUAAAGAAGCACCGGCUAACUACGUG